rnacentral:miRNA from 1 species
UCUGGGCUAUGGCAAUGCUGUG